rnacentral:tRNA from 1 species
AAUAAAGUGCCUGAAAAAAAAGGAUUAUUUUGAUAGAAUAAAUUAUGUAAAAUUUACCUUUAUUA